CUCAAAGGAAUUGACGGGGGCCCGCACAAGCANCGGAGCAUGUGGCUUAAUUNGACGCAACGCGAAGAACCUUACCAAGGCUUGACAUACACCGGAAACGGCCAGAGAUGGUCGCCCCCUUGUGGUCGGUGUACAGGUGGUGCAUGGCUGUCGUCAGCUCGUGUCGUGAGAUGUUGGGUUAAGUCCCGCACGAGCGCAACCCUUGUUCUGUGUUGCCAGCAUGCCCUUCGGGGUGAUGGGGACUCACAGGAGACUGCCGGGGUCAACUCGGAGGAAGGUGGGGACGACGUCAAGUCAUCAUGCCCCUUAUGUCUUGGGCUGCACACGUGCUACAAUGGCCGGUACAAAGAGCUGCGAAGCCGUGAGGUGGAGCGAAUCUCAAAAAGCCGGUCUCAGUUCGGAUUGGGGUCUGCAACUCGACCCCAUGAAG
rnacentral:rRNA from 1 species